rnacentral:rRNA from 1 species
GUGCCAGCCGCCGCGGUAAUACAGAGGGUGCGAGCGUUAAUCGGAGUUACUGGGCGUAAAGGGUGCGUAGGCGGUACUAUGUGUGUGAUGUGAAAGCCCCGGGCUUAACCUGGGAAGUGCAUCGCAAACUGUAGAACUAGAGUAGAUGAGAGGGUGAUGGAAUUUCCGGUGUAGCGGUGAAAUGCGUAGAGAUCGGAAGGAACGUCAAUGGCGAAGGCAGUCACCUGGCAUCAUACUGACGCUGAGGCACGAAAGCGUGGGGAGCGAACAGGAUUAGAUACCCUGGUAGUCCACGCUGUAAACGAUGACAACUAAAUGUUGGUUGGGGAACCAAUCGGUAUUGAAGCUAACGCGAUAAGUUGUCCGCCUGGGAAGUACGGCCGCAAGGUUGAAACUUAAAUAAAUUGACGG